GUUUCCGUAGCUCAGUUGGAUAGAGCAACCGCCUCCUAAGCGGUAGGUCGGGUGUUCAAAUCACCUCGGGAACGCCA
rnacentral:tRNA from 1 species